AGAGAGAGAGAUCGUGUCUGAGACACAGUGAGGGGGGCUAUUCUCUGACCCCCGAUAGGUAUUGUCCCACAGGUGGCUUUUUCUCUCGUGUUGUGCGUCGGACGGGUGGCUAAUGUCUGGGAAACUGCCUGAUGGAGGGGGAUCACUUCUGUAAACGGUCGCUAAUCCCGCAUAACGUCGCAAGACCAAAGUGUCCCUCUUCCUCCCUCAUGCCAUCAGAUGUGUCCCCAUCGGACUACCUAGUACGUGAGGUAAUGGCUCACUUUGGCGACCGCUCGAGCGCAUUGUAGGAACCCGAACGG
rnacentral:rRNA from 1 species